GAAUAUUUUACCGAGAGAAUCAUUCCCUCGGUAAAUGUCUCUUUAAUUUUUAGUCAGAUUAAAUUAGUUUUAGAUUUAUAGUUUUAAUUUUACCGAGUAAUUUAUUCCCUCGGCAAAUGGUCUAGUCUGUAAGAUAAAACUACAAUUAUACCGCUGCCGGCUUGCCGGCUUUCUUCUCAUAAUAUUUCUCAUCCCCAAAUUAAAAGCCCUAGUCAAGGCUGUCGUUCUUCUCUUUCGCGGCUGCCGUUCACCACCCCACCUCCGAUUCUAUUUGCAGAAUGACCUCAAAAUCAAUCUGAUUGAUCGGCACGACAUUCCCCGCCACAAAGUGAAUAAGGUGAUUAAUAAAUCUUUUAUAUAUUUUGAGUCUGGAAUGCAGUCAAUUGUUGAUGGAGAACUUCGACUUAUUUGUGUAGGUGGAAACAAUUCAGAGGCAGAGGCUCAGGAAACUGAACGCCGGUGAAGCGAAAAAGAAGAAGAAAACUGACCUCUGCUCAUGCGGCUGCUAAGGGAAGGAUAAUUUGAUGGUUACCAAUGGUUGCCUUAAAGCUUACAAAAUACAAACUGAUCUUCCAUAGAGGAGAAGGUAAUUGAUGAGGUAUAUGAUGAAUAAUCUGAGGUUGCUGAUCGUCUACGGAUUAGGGUAAGAUAUUUCACUAGCUUUCCUCUAAUAUUCUAUAGUGGGUAUUUGUGGAUAGCAAUAGAUAUGAGUUUCUAUAAUUAAAUGGCCAGGGAAGUAUUUUUUU